rnacentral:rRNA from 1 species
AGGAACGCUAGCACGGCGCCUAACACAUGCAAGCGAAGGGGCUUUUCGUAGGAGAAGCACCCGCGUACGGGUGAGGAAUCGUCUGAACGGAUCUAUGUGACCUUGAAUAGGGGAUAUUUAAAGGCUUUAACGAACAGAGCGCACAUAGACUGGCGGACGAGGGAUUAGAUAGUUGGUGAGGUAAGGGCUUACCAAGUCGAUGAUCCCGAGCGGGCCUGAGAGGGUGAUCCGCCACACUAGGACUGAGAACGGCCUAGACUCCGUUGGGAGGCAGCAGUGGGGAAUCUUGGACACUGGCUUAACGGCUGAUCCAGCGACCGUGCCUGCGUGAGGAAGGUCUUUGGACUGUAAAGCGCAAACGCACGUCUUUAAGAUAAAAAGCGUGACGAAAGCCCCGGCAAACUCCGU